GCGGGAGUAGCUCAGUUGGCUAGAGCGACGCGUUGCCAUCGCGUAGGUCGAGGGUUCGAAUCCCUUUUCCCGCU
rfam:Pseudobacteriovorax antillogorgiicola strain RKEM611 genome assembly, contig: Ga0139084_112